UCGUCGUUGUAUUGUUGAUUUCGUUUCAUUCGUCAUCUCACCGCUUUCUGUAUUCAAACUACAAGUGGAUAAUUUCAUUCUUAAACUAAGUUUGAAAAGAGUGCAUCAUUCUUAAACUGAGUUUGAAAAGAGUGCAAAUCCGGUCCAGAAUUGUAUGCGUUUGGAGGCGCUGUAAAAACACCCUUAAGAUCGAUGUAAAAUUGCAAAUAUGCCAACAUUUACAUCAAUCUUGGGGUGAAAAACUACUUCCAUUAUUUCGAAGUAAAACUUUAUGUCCUUCCUUCGUCAACGGAAAUAAGCGAGGAAUUUACCCUCAUCCACCAUAACGAUGGUUGAGCAAUGGCUAUUUCCCCAUCUGAGAUCUGAGAUUCCAAGCAUCCGAGCGUCUGUUGGAGGAUGGUCGAGCAAUGGCUACUUCCCCAUCUGAGAUCUGAGAUUCCGAGCAUCCGAGCGUCUAUUUUCGAACUGGUAAAAGAGAUGUUGAUGCUGAUCUAGUUUGAGCAUCUGAGAUCUGCCAUUUCGUUCACAACCUCGUUCUAGUGCUGCUGAGUUUUUCUCUUGUUCGAAGCUUCUUCAACCUCGUGAUUUCCAGAUCUCCGUCAACAUACCCAUUUCCAGGACCUUCUUCAACCUCGUGAUUUCCAGCAUCAUUUUCCUAAUUCCAUUAGUCUCCUGUUGCUGAAUACCAUAAUUGGCCGGCCACUUCUGUGAUAAAUUCAUUUGGUUGUGUGGCAAGGAAAAGUCCUUUUGGGCAUCUCAAAACAGGUUUCAGUCCUGACCAAAAAAAGCUUAUAGUCUGGAGUGGUCCAUUCUGGCUAUAGUUUUAGAUUUGAAGUUGGUUCACCUUCACUGUGUGUUUGGGUUGGAAGUACCUUGGAUUGAGGGUCUGAACUCUUUUUUUUUUCUUUGGGAAUAUGGGCUCCCAUGAUGGUUUCUGCUUCAUGAACAGAAAUCUCCAUAGGACCUUACUGUGGCAACCAUUCUUGAUUAAAGUGAUGCCUACUUAAGAUUUGGAAAUUUGCUUGGGUUGAGAUCUUGUUGAUCACUAAUUCUGCACUCAUGUUUUUCUAUUUAUUAUAGAAUGAGACUAGGGGGAUCUUUCUCUUGUGACUUGAUGUGUGUAAAUCCUAACUAGGAUCUCUUCUUUACUGCCUUGUUCUAAUAACCCUUUAAGAUGCUUUGAACCUCA